GCCUUCGUGGUGUAAUGGCCAGCACACUCGGCGUGUAUUCGAGAGAUCCAAGGUUCGAGUCCCGGCAACGGCA
rfam:Stegodyphus mimosarum contig120251, whole genome shotgun sequence.